rnacentral:rRNA from 1 species
AACGAACGCUGGCGGCAUGCCUAACACAUGCAAGUCGAACGAACCCUUCGGGGUUAGUGGCGCACGGGUGCGUAACGCGUGGGAAUCUGCCCUUUGCUUCGGAAUAACAGUUAGAAAUGACUGCUAAUACCGGAUGAUGUCUUCGGACCAAAGAUUUAUCGGCAAAGGAUGAGCCCGCGUAGGAUUAGGUAGUUGGUGGGGUAAAGGCCUACCAAGCCGACGAUCCUUAGCUGGUCUGAGAGGAUGAUCAGCCACACUGGGACUGAGACACGGCCCAGACUCCUACGGGAGGCGGCAGUGGGGAAUAUUGGACAAUGGGCGCAAGCCUGAUCCAGCAAUGCCGCGUGAGUGAUGAAGGCCUUCGGGUCGUAAAGCUCUUUUACCAGGGAUGAUAAUGACAGUACCUGGAGAAUAAGCUCCGGCUAACUCCGUGCCAGCCGCCGCAGUAACAC